UACGUAGGGCGCAAGCGUUGUCCGGAAUUAUUGGGCGUAAAGAGCUCGUAGGCGGUUUGUCGCGUCGAAUGUGAAAACCCGGGGCUCAACCCCGGGCCUGCAUUCGAUACGGGCAGACUAGAGUUCGGUAGGGGAGUCUGGAAUUCCUGGUGUAGCGGUGAAAUGCGCAGAUAUCAGGAGGAACACCGGUGGCGAAGGCCGGACUCUGGGCCGAUACUGACGCUGAGGAGCGAAAGCGUGGGGAGCAAACAGG
rnacentral:rRNA from 1 species